CUUGGGUGUGUUUACUCUGCCUCUAGCUAAUCUCAUCUGAUCCUGGAAGCAAAGCAGGUUUAGGUGUGGUUCAUAUUUGUGUGGGUGACCACCAGGAAAUAGGAAGCUGACAGGA
rnacentral:rRNA from 1 species